rnacentral:rRNA from 1 species
GACGAACGCUGGCGGCGUGCCUAAUACAUGCAAGUCGAGCGCUGAAGGUUGGUACUUGUACCAACUGGGUGAGCGGCGGACGGGUGAGUAACGCGUGGGGAAUCUGCCUUUGAGCGGGGGACAACAUUUGGAAACGAAUGCUAAUACCGCAUAAAAACUUUAAACACAAGUUUUAAGUUUGAAAGAUGCAAUUGCAUCACUCAAAGAUGAUCUCGCGUUGUAUUAGCUAGUUGGUGAGGUAAAGGCUCACCAAGGCGAUGAUACAUAGCCGACCUGAGAGGGUGAGCGGACACACUGGGACUGAGACACGGGCCCAAGUCCUAGGGGAGGCAGCGGUGGGGAAGUUUGGGAAAUGGGCGAAAGGCUGACAGAGCAAAGCCGCGUGAGUGAGGAAGGGGUUCGGGUCGUAAAACUCUGUUAUUAGGGAGGAACAGAGGUGGAAGUGAAUAUGCCCGACAUGACGGUAACUAAUCAGAAAGCCACGGCUAACUACGUG